rnacentral:rRNA from 1 species
UACGGGGGGGGCAAGCGUUGUUCGGAAUUACUGGGCGUAAAGGGUCUGUAGGUGGCCAACUAAGUCAGACGUGAAAUCCCUCAGCUUAACUGGGGAACUGCGUCUGAGACUGGAUGGCUCGAGUGCAGGAGAGGAAUGCGGAAUUCCAGGUGUAGCGGUGAAAUGCGUAGAUAUCUGGAGGAACACCGGUGGCGAAGGCGGCAUUCUGGACUGAAACUGACACUGAGAGACGAAAGCCAGGGGAGCAAACGGG